UUUGCGGCAAAAAAAAACCGCUGACCCCUCUUUCCUCGUCCUCUCCUUCCUCUCGACUCUUCUUCUCUUUCUCUUCGCUCCCUCCUUCCUCCCCCCGACACCAGCAGGGGCGACGGUGUCGAGCAACGGCGGCGCGGCGCGCCGGAGCCGCUAUCCUCCACCACCACCACCACCACCUCCUCCUCCUCCUCCUCCUCCCCUUCCCUUCCUCUCUAUCUCCCCUGAAUUCCUGAUGUGGCGGCAGGAGCCGUGGCUAGCUCGUCUGCCCGGCCCAAGGCAACGCACCAGCGCCUCCUCCGCUUCCUCCGCCACCCUCGUGUCCUCUCCCUUCCCCUCUCUCCGCGACCGUGGUCGUGCCUGCUCUGAGGAAACCCUAGGUGCCAUGGGGGCCUCCAAUCUGGCCACGGCGAAUCGACCCGGCCCUGUCGGUGGCCGCCGCCAUGGUUGUACGUCCUCCCUCCCCGGCGCUGCCUCCUUCCUCACCUCUCCGUGUGCUCCUGUGCUCUUCCUCUCCCCUCUAUAUGUGCUCCUGUGGUACAGGAAACCCUACUUGCCUGGGUAGGUCUUUGUUUUUUCUCCUCCUGUUCACCCGCAACGGCUUCCAAUGGCGCCCCGGCCAAGUUCUUCUCUCUUGUCUUCCAUGCCAGUGUUUCGUUUGCCGCCGAGGCGCCGACCUCUAGCGGACAUGCCCAGCUGAUGUUGUUGGUAGAAAUAUAAAUUAUGGUUGCAUCAAUAUGCAUUGUUUUACUUGAUUCAUUCUGAGGUUUUGGGGUUAUGGGAUGAUGAACUAUUUUUAGACUGAGACAAUGGAAUUACGAAAUGAUGUUUGAUUAUUUCAAUUUUCUAUGACUCUUGCUAUUUGCAUUAUUUUUCUGAUGACAAUGUCAUUAUACCUUGCCAUUUUGCUUUAGCGUCUGUUGUUUCGUUUUUGUUAAUCGCUACAUUUUGUGCAUUUGUUACUGAGCAUUGAUCCAUUGUCAAUGAUGUCUUCAAAUUAUCUGUUGGUUGUUCUAUUACUGACCACACCCCAUAGCCAAUGAUGUAUUUAUUCCUAGCCAUCUUUGUCCACUUUCUUGCUAGUCCACUUUCUUGCAUAUAUGAAACAGCUGGGACUAAGGUCCUAUGGAUCAAUUAGGUUAGAAAGUGAAAUGGUGGGUUCCUUUGCUUCUGUAGACUACUCUAAGCAAAUUUCUAUUCCAUUAAAUAAGGUACUGUGGAUGUCAGUUGCUGCAUCUAAUUACUGUAUCUAACGCUGCCUUUUUUGCUCGAUUUUAGUCAGUGACACAUUAGAUGCAGUAAUUACUAUGGUAUGGCAUGGAAGCUUUGAGGUCUUCAGCAAGUUGUGCAUUGGGUUGGUUUACCUGAUAACUCUGUCAUCACUACCAUAUGUGUGAUAAUCCCACAUACGUUCAGUUGAUUAAUAUCACUAUUGUUUCUGGUUCCCUCUCCUCACUGAUCUUGGCCUGCCCCCUAAGAGGUCGUCAGCCUCUGGCGCUCUCUUGUUUUAAAAAUGUGCAGGUCAUGAGCAGAACUAAUAUCCUCUGGUGUCACAUUAUCUACUGAGGUUUGGGGAUUGUGUGAUGAUAAAUUGUUUUAGACUGAGACAAUGGAAUUGUGCAAUGGGGAUUACUUAUUUCACCCUUUCAUGAAUCUUGCUAUUUGUAGUGGUUUUUUUAUAGCAAUGUCAUUAAAUCUUGGCAACUCUCUUCUGCAUUUGCUGUUUUGUUUUCAUUAAUUCCUGCACUUCAUGCAUUUGUUACUGAGGAUAAGUCCAUUGUCGAUGAUGUCUUCACUUCACAUAAUUUAUUGGAUGUUCUAUUACUGAGCACACCCCAUUGCCAAUGAUGUGUUUAUUUCUAUCCAUCUCUCUCUACUUUUCUGCAAAUACACUAAUCCAACAUCGUGUUGCCCCUCUCCUGGUUCUGUGGGGAACAUAUGCUACGUUUUCCCCUGCUGGUCAGUACAAUUUGCAGGACAAUAUUGAAAUGGGAAUUUCAGGGCAUCAAAUGAUAGGAUGACCAUUGUUAGUUACUGACUUCAUGAUUAGUGCAGAUACAUAGAUGAUCCUAAACAACAUACACCUGGAUCAAGGUACAUAUGACAUAUUUGGCUCAGUAAGUUAAAGCUUAAAUGUGGAUGAGUUUGCAAGGGUAUGAAUGCUUCUGAAAAUAAAUAACCAGCAUGGCACUGCAACUAUGCCUAGCAUGUCUUUUCUUAUUUUCCUUACCUCUUCUCUUCUAUUUUACAAUGAAUUUUAUUUAGUUGCACAUCAUAUAUCAUAUUGAGCCAUGGUUCCCUUUGUUUUUCUAACUGUAAUUUUACUUGGCCUAAUACUUACAUUUGUUUUUAUGGCCAACAUAUGCAACUGUGAAAAGUAUAAUUGGAGUGCUUCAGUUCUUAGCCAAGGUAACAUCCAAUUCAGGUUCUUCCUCUAUGUCCGUCAUUAUACUUUUCUCUUUAUAUUCACUCUUCAAACACUAAUUGUAUCCAAGAGAGCACUGGUGUCAUAGGUCUUGUUACAUUAUUUAGUGACUUCCUACAUGUUUCUCUUGUGUUGUUAUUUAUACAUGAUAGGAUGGUUUGCAAAUUUUUAUUUGGUUAGGUUCCUUACAUUACAGGAGCAUAGACCAUGGGACUUGGAAUUCUUCAUGCACUUCACUUUGAAAUGAAUGAUCCAAAGUUAUUUUAUUAGGUACUGUAGAUAGUAGAUGUCACAUUUGAUUGAGAUAGCAUGACCAUAUUAGGUUAGUUGAAUUCCUAAAAAUUACAAUACUUCUCAAAUUAAUACAGGUUCCAUACGUGUGCCCCAUCGGGUAAAAGAAGUAGUCAUAUGUGUUGCCAUGAAUUUUGUCAACGUGUGCCACAUCACAGUGAAGACCUGCCUGUUUUAUUCAUCGGGAUGCCCCUCGGCUGCCUGGCUGUUUCUUGUGUUCCUCAUGGCAACCAUGCAUGUUGGUCUGGUUUGUAUUCGGUUAUUUUGUUACUCUUGUUGCUUCUCUAUUGGAGUCUGCCUUGCUUCUUGUGGUUGCCAUGCACGAGACCUCUGCCAUGACAUGUCUGCCAUGGCACUUUUGACUACUGGAAAAUGAUUUGGAGCAAGUGCCAUCAUAUAUGUUCAGUUGUGAAACCAUGAUAGAUGUGCAUGGAAGUUUUCAAAACUUUUUAGUUGCAAAAAAAAAACUCAGAUCCACCGAACUAAUCCUGUUCGGACCAUCUUCUUACUGCAAGCAAUUUUUUGCGUUUACAUUUACUCACAGUAAAGCAUCCUUGCUUUUGUCAGCAACAACAAUCUAGAUGGUUUGGCAAUAAUGCGAUGCCAUGGCAUGAUCACGUUUGCCAUAAUUUAGGUCUAUGCCCUGCUCCAAGCGUAACUCUCUACCCUUUUCCAUGUGUCAAAUGAGCCUACAGAUUGUUUGGCCGGCCUUUUUAAUGUAGCUUAUGUUUAGCGUUUGCACUUUACUGCAGGUUGUAUAGUAACGAUCGAUCGAGAGCGAGCUGGACCUUCUUGCCUGUUUUUUUCCUUAUCGGUUCAUAUAUGCAUCCUGCUCUUUUGUUAAUUUUCAGUCAAUAUUUGUGAGACCUCUUCACCUGUCCAAUUUUGCGCUGCCCUCUUUCUUGCUUAAUCUAACAAGCUGCUACUGUGCUAUGCACUGCUUCUUGUCCUCUCUUCUGUUUAUUAGUCCAUUUCAUAAAUCAAUAGGUAUUUUGAGGAUGUGGAAAAUAAAUAUGGUGCAGACGUGCACUUCAAAGCUUGCAUAUGAUACCUGCAUUACAUCCCAGGUGGUGAAACAGAAAUGGAGGAAGUACGCCUCCAUUUUACCUGUAAAUUCAAAUGCUCUCUCAAAAUCACAUGUCAAUCACUAGAUGUUCUACGAGAUGAUACAACAGAUGCAUCCGCUCUCAUGCUUUCAGCACCUAUUGUUGGUUAUCAAGAGUUUGUGCAGCUUCACAUCUUCUAACUGGUCAUAGCGUUUUUAUAUUUGCAGCUUGAUUGCAAAUAUAAAUAGGCACAAAGUGAUAUUUAGCAGCCUAAAAAAAUCUCACCUACUUCGUGCAUAGAUGCUUAAUUUACAUUUUACCUGAAAUUUAUUAUACACAUCUUGCCCAUACAUGCCUUCUGCUGGUCUGUUUUUGUUUCCUUCUGAGUGCAUACAUGCAUUUUGAAUGGGUGCUUAUAUCCUCCUAAACCUUAUGGUUUUGUCCUCAUUUUCUGCAGGAGAUACCCCCAGCAAUCAUUCAACAGACCACUAGAAAUUUUGUCAAUGGUUGCUGGGUUGGAAUACAUAAGAACCCUGACAUAUUGAUUAAGACUCUUAGCUGAUUAAGAAGACAGGUAUCUACUCGAAUUUCCAUUUACUUUCGCAAGAUAUACAGAGACAGCCCUGCAACAAAAGGUCUGCCAAUGGAUCAAUGUUUGCUGCCUUCCAUUUGGCGUUUCAAUCCCCAGGAUCUCACAUAAGGUGAAUGAACGUGAUGAGUUGGCGUCUCUUAAGGAAUUCGCAGUGGAGACAGGGUCACAAUUUGAGAUGUGUUUCCCCCUAGCCUUCUUUGAUGUGAUGGUUCACCUUGUGGUGCACUUGGUUUCACGAAUAGAGGCAUUGAGUCCCAUGUAUUUGCAUGAGGUGUGGAUGUAUGAGCAUUUAUGUCAACACUAAAUGGCUAUGUAUCAACUCGUGCUCAUCCAGAGGCAUCUAUGGUAGAGGGGUAUUUAACCGAAGAGGCCAUUGAGUCCAGAGGUCCAUUCUGCAAUAGGGUCCUAAAAGUCCAGGUUGCAAUAGGUUUGCCUUCGUCACGACACGAGGGUAGGCUGAAUGGAAGGGUAGGAUGGGAAAGAAAUCAUACGUCCCAAAAGAUUACAAUUUAGUCCUCGAAGCACAUCACAGCGUCCUGCAUCAGCUCUUGAUAAUGGAGCCUUUGAUCAAUCUACACAUUGAAGAGCUUCGAAAACAUAAUCAUGGGCACACAGAUGAAUGGUUAAAGAAGGAACAUAAGAAUAAGUUCAUCUCAUGGCUAAGGGAGCUGGACAUUCCAGAUGGAGAAACACUCGAGGAUCGCACCAUCAAGGUCUUGGCAUCUAGGCCAUCACGCCAGGUCACGACUUGGCAAAUCUAUGACAUUAGUGGCUUCACAUUCUGUACCAAGUCCAAGGACCAAAAGGGCAUGGCACAAAAUAAUGGUGUUCGAUGCGACGCCUUAGACUCUGAAACUAGUGAGGAAACAACUUACUUUGGCUUCGUUGAGGACAUAUGGGAACUAGACUAUGGUACAUUUCAGAUCUCUGUAUUUUGGUGUCAAUGAGUUGAAGACAAACAUAUCACAGUGGACAACUAUGGGGUCAGAGUUCUAGAUCUAAGCAAGAUAGGCUACAAAGAUGAUCCAUGGAUAAUGGCUAACCGUGUUGCACAGGUCUUCUAUGCUAAGCAGGUCCUCUCUCCUAAUGAUAAGAAGAAAAUUACCGACCAUCCAAAGCACGUAGUUUUCCCUGGAAAGCAACGAGCCAUAGGAGUUGAUGGUGUAUCUGACCUGGAUGAAUUUAACCAGUUCAGUGACAUGUCUCUCUUUGUAGAUGACCAUCCAAUAAAGAUAAGGAAUGUUGAGCGAAGCAUUCCACAGAGCUCGUUGCCCAGGGUGCGUCACGAUGGACAAGGAAGAACAUUAGCUGCCUUGAUUUUAUUUGACAUUUGCCAUGUAAUUUAUUUAUGAUAAAAUGUGUACCUUAUCCUAUGUGCCCUUCUCUAUUUGUACAUCUAAGACCUACCAUGUCGUAACACUUUGGUUACUAAGCUAUAUUGAGUCCAUGAGCAUUUCGGUAUCGUAUUGGGCUCAAACUUUUUCCAAGGCUUACUAGUGCCAUUGAUGUUCAACCCACCAAGUUUAAGAUUUUUCUGAUGUGGUUUGUUACUUUAUCCAGUUUAAUUGAAUUUCCUCGCGACGUCACCCGCUAAUUAGCGCUUGAACUAAGUCUGCCCCUGAAAUGACUCUAAAUGGUGCCAAACUUCUCCACAGGGUCUCAUAUACCAUAGGAAAUAAAACUUUAUUGUGGUUGGUGAAAAAACCUAGUGGGAUCUAGGUGUAGUCCACUAUUUUUCAUCUAAUUUAGCACAAAGAAAAAUGUAAUAAUAUCUUGCAUGACCAGAAAAUCCUGAGAUCUUGUGUGGGGUCAUCAUUUGGGUCUAGAAGCUUGCCAAAAAAAUUUUAAGACAUUUGGAGAUAAGCAUAAGAUACAUGGUUCACAAACGUAGAAGAGCCAUUCCAUUGAACCAUGCUCAAACAUAUGGGUUCCUCACCUUUAUACUGCCAACGAUAAAUUGCACGAAUGAAUAUAUUUUUUAUAGCAUUUACACACUACAAUAAAGCUAACAAAUUUGGAAUCACAUUUUUCUGGUAUUCCUAGAAUUAUUUAUGUAUUAAACAAGAUAUGAGGCACAUAUUCAAUUUAAAUCAUUUUAAAUAAAGCUGCAUACAAAAGUACCUUAAACAUAAAAUUUCAUAUUUUUAACAUGUG